rnacentral:tRNA from 1 species
GCGGGUGUGGCUCAGUGGUAGAGCUCCAGUCUUCCAAACUGGCUGCGUGGGUUCGAUUCCCAUCACCCGCU